AGCUUAUAGUUUUGAUUCCGGCUCAGGACGAACGCUGGCGGCGUGCCUAUCACAUGCAAGUCGAGCGAUGAAAUUCCUUCGGGAAUGGAUUAGCGGCGGACGGGUGAGUAACACGUGGGUAACCUGCCUCAAAGAGGGGGAUAGCCUCCCGAAAGGGAGAUUAAUACCGCAUAACAUUAGUUUUUCGCAUGAAGAACUAAUUAAAGGAGCAAUCCGCUUUGAGAUGGACCCGCGGCGCAUUAGCUAGUUGGUGAGGUAACGGCUCACCAAGGCGACGAUGCGUAGCCGACCUGAGAGGGUGAUCGGCCACAUUGGAACUGAGACACGGUCCAGACUCCUACGGGAGGCAGCAGUGGGGAAUAUUGCACAAUGGGCGAAAGCCUGAUGCAGCAACGCCGCGUGAGUGAUGAAGGCCUUCGGGUUGUAAAGCUCUGUCUUUGGGGACGAUAAUGACGGUACCCAAGGAGGAAGCCACGGCUAACUACGUGCCAGCAGCCGCGGUAAUACGUAGGUGGCGAGCGUUGUCCGGAUUUACUGGGCGUAAAGGAUGCGUAGGCGGAUAUUUAAGUGAGAUGUGAAAUACCCGGGCUUAACUUGGGUGCUGCAUUUCAAACUGGAUAUCUAGAGUGCGGGAGAGGAGAAUGGAAUUCCUAGUGUAGCGGUGAAAUGCGUAGAGAUUAGGAAGAACACCAGUGGCGAAGGCGAUUCUCUGGACCGUAACUGACGCUGAGCAGAAA
rnacentral:rRNA from 1 species